AUGACCAAUGCUAGAGCAUUGUUUCUAGCCUCCAUACUCACUAUUCUUCCUCGGUAAAACUUUCACUGUAUAGUCAUUAGUUGUUAGUUUUUAGUCUAGAAUUCCCCAGGUUUUGAACACUUGGUCUCUAACCGGUGGCACUAUUUUGAAAGCCAUGUCACCAGGUUGGCAGAAUAGGUCACUAGAGGUAAGCCUUCAAAAUCUAUACUUACUCAUUUCCAGCCUAUCUCUGAUUUCUGGUCCUGUGAAGAGUCUCUGUCACAUGCAUGGAUUUCCCUAUGCAUUUCCCUCCACAACGGACUGAAGUCUCUGAAAUUGCUAUAAAUCAUACAUCAUUGUGGGGAAGUCAACGCAGGAACCUGAAGCAUCUACUUAUACCCAGGCUGCUUGUUGGAGACGACUGCCCACAUCUGGAUACAGUUUGCCAUUUUGUGAUGGUGGCGGGACUAUUGGUAGCAAAACUGGAAAAUAAACAUCCCCUGGAUGCACAUUUGGGAAGCAAAAGUGACAGGCCAACUGACCUUGGUGAUGGGUUGGAAGCAUGAGUGAUUACCUUGAGGUUGUUAAGAUGGCAUAGGGAAGAAUUUUAAAGACGGGGACCUCAGACACCUAGUUUCAGCUAUUCUUUACCAGGAAGCACACAAAUGUCAUAUUCACAACCUGCUUGUCUACAGUUUUGUUCCAGAGAAUAAUUAUUUCCUAUGUGAGUAAAAAGAAAUGGGCUCAUAUUCCUCUCAGCAGAGUCCACAGCAGCAUGCAACAAAGGUCUUUUAAAAAACAAACCAGCCCCCAAAGCCACAGAGAAACCCUGUCUCGAAAAACAAAAGAAACCAACAUUUUUUUCAUCAGAGUGACGCAUGCACAUGGGUAAAACUCCUCCCCUGGAUGGAAGAGAGAACAAGACAUUUUCUCUUUGAGCACCCCUCCUCCAUGCCAGACCUCAUCUCCAGAGGCUGCCAAUCUUUCACUCACUCCAUCGACAUCUUCUUGCCUCCAUGGUUAUCACACUCCUAUGCACAUACCCACACUCAUACCUGCACUUGUAAUUAUAAAUCUAAAACGUGCAAAUAUAAGCAAUGUGACUAUUCUGCCACUUUUUUCAUAUUUGUGGAUCACACUUUCUGUUUCUGCAAAAACAGGCCGUUGUCUGUUAGAGUAAUUGCACCGAAUCUGCAUAUUUCUUUGGGGGGGGAGUACUUCUAUUUUAACAAUAUGAAACCUCCCAAGAAACAAACAAGGGAUGUCUUUAGUGUAUCUGAGUCUCUUUCAAAAAAAUGGUUUAAGUUAAGUGAACAAGUCUUUCAUUGGUUAAAUAUACUCAUUGAUUUUUUAAUUCUUUCAAUAAACCUAAUUGUUCUCUUAUCUAUUUCAUUGUUGACAUAUGGAGACAAAACUAGCCCAGUGUGCUUUGUGUGUGGGUGUGUGUUUGUGUGGAGUCCUUCACAUUCUAUGUAUAUAUAAUUAUGUCAUUUAUGAAUACAGAUAACUUUGCUUCUUCA